rnacentral:misc_RNA from 1 species
UUUCCGUAGGUGAACCUGCGGAAGGAUCAUUAUUGGAUUUUGAAACUUCAGGCUGCUGCUGGCUCUCCUCGGAGGGCAUGUGCACGCUUGUUGUCCAUUAUUACUCCCACUGUGCACAAAUUGUAGACCUUUCAGUAGGCCUAUGUUGUUUUUCACAAUCUCUGAAUGUAAUAGAAUGGUUUUGAAUCUUGGGAAAUACAAUACAACUUUCAGCAACGGAUCUCUUGGCUCUC